rnacentral:lncRNA from 1 species
UCCAUUUCUUUCUUUGUUUAAUCCAGCAACUUCCAGCAUUUAGACACUUUGGAUAAAGUUGUACCAAAAUAACCUAAAUUUAAAUUAUAUAUAUAUUUUGAAAGUAAGAUGUGUGUAGCAUUAAUUUUGUGGGAAAUAUUACUGUCUAACUGACCAUGCAGAUCCUAGUUAGUGGUUGUUCACCUUAAGAAGAUUCUUCAAAUAGGGUAUAUAUUCUCAGGGAUUGCUAGUCCAGAAACUGCUGACUGAACUACAUUAAAUACUAUACAGAAGGAACAAAUCAAAUGAUAUUUGUACACAAGAUCACUGUUUUCUAGAAUAACCUACAUGUAAUAUAUGACCAUGGCAAAAUGUUUUAAAACCCAAAAUUCAAAAAGAUAAAAAUCGUA